rnacentral:rRNA from 1 species
UAAGACGAACCGUGCGAACGUUGUUCGGAAUCACUGGGCUUAAAGGGCGCGUAGGCGGGUCAGCAAGUCAGGGGUGAAAUCCCACGGCUCAACCGUGGAAGUGCCUUUGAUACUGCUGGUCUUGAGGGAGGUAGGGGCGUGCGGAACUUCCGGUGGAGCGGUGAAAUGCGUAGAUAUCGGAAGGAACACCGGUGGCGAAAGCGGCGCGCUGGAUCUCUACUGACGCUGAGGCGCGAAAGCCAGGGGAGCAAACGGGAUUAGAUACCCCGGUAGUCCUGGCCCUAAACGAUGGGUACUAGGUAGUGGACUUACAUGGGUUCACUGCCGAAGCAAAAGUAUUAAGUACCCCGCCUGGGGAGUAUGGUCGCAAGGCUG